rnacentral:misc_RNA from 1 species
CAACCCUCAAGCUCUGCUUGGUGUUGGGCUCCGCCCCCGUGGCCGGCCCCAAAGUCAGUGGCGGCGCCGUCUGGCUCUAAGCGUAGUACAUCUCUCGCUCUAGGGUCCUACGGUGGCUUGCCAGAACCCCAACUUCUAU